rnacentral:lncRNA from 1 species
CCUGCAGAAGUAGAUUGAUAAAUGUUAUGGGUUUUAUGGAGUGUCCCAUCGUCUUCUUCUAGCUCUGGAACUUUAAUGUCUUCCGAUUGACAUAGCUCUGCACACUGCUGAGUUAGUUGAUUUGUAGCUAUAGACUUCAGUUUAUCUUCAUUAGUCUUUAGCUUUUCUAUCUCAUUACCCAUACUGUCCACUUUCAUUGAAAGCGUAGUUAGGGUGUUAAGUAUUUUU